rnacentral:misc_RNA from 1 species
GAAAUGCGAUAAGUAAUGUGAAUUGCAGAAUUCUGUGAAUCAUCGAUUCUUUGAACGCACAUUGCGCCCUCUGGUAUUCCGGGGGGCAUGCCUGUCCGAGCGUCAUUGCGAACCCCUCAAGCACGGCUUGUGUGAUGGGCCCUCCCGCGUCUUGGUCGUCAAGACGGGCCCGAAAAGCAGUGGCGGCUUCGCGGUUAUCCGAUCAGCCAGAGCGUAUGGGGACUUUCUCUCUGUCACACGCCCGCGGCGCGGACCGACGCCUGUCGACCUUUAUUCAUCUUUUUCUCGGUUGACCUCGGAUCAGGUAGGGAUACCCGCUGAACUUAAGC